ACCACGGUUCUCGUCCGGUCACCGAAGUUAAGCAAAGUAGAGACUGGUCAGUACCUAGAUGAGUGACCACUCGGGAAUGCUAGGGGGU